CCAGACUCCUACGGGAGGCAGCAGUGGGGGAUAUUGCACAAUGGGGGAAACCCUGAUGCAGCGACGCCGCGUGAGUGAAGAAGUAUUUCGGUAUGUAAAGCUCUAUCAGCAGGGAAGAAAAUGACAGUACCUGACCAAGAAGCCCCGGCUAACUACGUGCCAGCAGCCGCGGUAAUACGUAGGGGGCAAGCGUUAUCCGGAUUUACUGGGUGUAAAGGGAGCGUAGACGGUUAUGUAAGUCUGGAGUGAAAGCCCGGGGCCCAACCCCGGGACUGCUUUGGAAACUGUGUAACUGGAGUACAGGAGGGGCAGGCGGAAUUCCUAGUGUAGCGGUGAAAUGCGUAGAUAUUAGGAGAAACACCGGUGGCGAAGGCGGCUUACUGGACUGUAACUGACGUUGAGGCUCGAAAGCGUGGGGAGCAAACAGGAUUAGAUACCCUUGUA
rnacentral:rRNA from 1 species